AAUUGUUCUUCCAAAAUUUUUUUGAAAUUAGGGUUUAAGGUUUCGUACCGGAAAUGGCAACACCAGCAGCGGCGGCGGCGGCACCAAGUACGGCAGCUACUUCCGAGAAGAAGAAGCCUGUUUUCGUCAAAGCGGAAAGCUUAAAGCCAGGGACACAUGGACACAACUUGACUGUUAAGGUUGUUGAUUCGAAUGCCGUCAAAGCCACCGGCGGUGCCAACCGAGGUGGUAGAUCAUCGGCGUCGUUAAAUCCUCGUGGUCCGGUGCGUCUCGCCGAGUGCCUUGUCGGUGAUGAAACCGGGUGCAUCCUCUUCACUGCUCGUAAUGAACAGGUUGAUAUGAUGAAGCCUGGGUCGACUGUCAUUCUGCGAAAUGCAAAGAUAGAUAUGUUCAAGGGUGCCAUGCGACUUGCAGUAGACAAAUGGGGUCGUGUUGAGGUUACUGAACCAGCUGAUUUUGAUGUUAACCAGGAGAACAACCUUUCUUUAGUCGAGUAUGAACUGGUUAACGUGGAAGAGUAGACAGGCUCAAGGGAAAUGAUAGUUUGAAGUUACAGUCGAAUUCUUGUUCUCAAUGUGAAUUAUUAUUAUGCAUCUCUGGAAUUUCCUUGGAUUAAUGAGCAAAGAUGCCCAUAUUUUUUAGCUCAUCAUGAUCCAAUGGCAUCAACAUCAUAUGAUGGUGUUGCUUUGCUCACUUGGUUGGUUAACUAGUUUUAAAGCGUGCGAUUUUUACUUUUCAGUCAUUUCCCUUGUUGUAUGAGGUAAAAACAACUUGCUAAGAAUGGG
rnacentral:misc_RNA from 1 species